UCGGUUGCUGCAGUACAGUUGGCAGGGAGGAAAAGCUGAGCACCUGGCAUCGGUUCCGGCCCCUUCCCUACUAGGCUGCCCUGGCUCCAAUGCUUUGUUGCACAAAGAGCUACAGCCAUGGGAAGGAAAGUUGCCUCCAAGCAAUGGGUGGUGGCUGCCAGAGGCUGGGAGAGCGCUAGAGAGAAGGCUUAUUCAGUGUGGAACUCAUCUUAGGCGAGCUGGCUGGACCGUUUUGUAGCAAGCCCAGGACUCUCUGAGGGUGGUCAUGGAGAAAACCCUGCUGCUUCCUUGUCGCCAAGGUUCUCAGGAUGAAAUGAGCAAAGCAAAUUGGGAGACUUAGUCUGCAGCGGGCAAAUCUAUGCUGUUUUCCCUGGGAGCCGGCUGACUAUAGGGUUUUAAACCUUU
rnacentral:lncRNA from 1 species